rnacentral:lncRNA from 1 species
AAAAAAUUACACAAACUGCUCUAGCCAUGUAUACAUUGGAUCCUUCCAUGUUUCUUUUACUCGAAGAAUAACUUGAGUAAAAAUGUGCCUGAAGUUCUGGACAGGUGGAUAAUGAAGGUGAAAUGCCUUUGAAAAUCCAGUGAUUUCUGGCAAACCAAAUACACCAGCUCAUAAUAAUAAUGAUCUCCAUGAAGAACUUGUAGCUGUAAUUUAAAGCUUUCCAAAAUAUCAUAAGG